GAUGAAGAACGUAGCGAAAUGCGAUAAGUAAUGUGAAUUGCAGAAUUCAGUGAAUCAUCGAAUCUUUGAACGCACAUUGCGCCCGCCAGUAUUCUGGCGGGCAUGCCUGUCCGAGCGUCAUUUCAACCCUCGAACCCCUCCGGGGGGUCGGCGUUGGGGAUCGGGAACCCCUAAGACGGGAUCCCGGCCCCGAAAUACAGUGGCGGUCUCGCCGCAGCCUCUCCUGCGCAGUAGUUUGCACAACUCGCACCGGGAGCGCGGCGCGUCCACGUCCGUAAAACACCCAACUUCUGAAAUGUUGAUCUCGGAUCAGGUAGGAAUACCCGCUGAACUUAAGCAUAUCAAUAAGCGGAGGA
rnacentral:misc_RNA from 1 species